UACGUAAGGGGCAAGCGUUGUCCGGAAUCAUUGGGCGUAAAGAGCGUGUAGGCGGUUCGGUAAGUCGGCUGUGAAAGUCCAGGGCUCAACCCUGGGAUGCCGGUCGAUACUGCCGGACUAGAGUUCGGAAGAGGCGAGUGGAAUUCCCGGUGUAGCGGUGAAAUGCGCAGAUAUCGGGAGGAACACCUAUGGCGAAGGCAGCUCGCUGGGACGUUACUGACGCUGAGACGCGAAAGCGUGGGGAGCAAACAGG
rnacentral:rRNA from 1 species